UCGCGCCCCCAGGUCAGGCGAGAACACCCGCUGAGUUUAAGCAUAUCACUAAGCGGAGGAAAAGAAACUUACAAGGAUUCCCCUAGUAACGGCGAGCGAACCGGGAUGAGCCCAGCAUGAAAAUCGGGCGGCGGUGCCGUUCGA
rnacentral:rRNA from 1 species